ACAACACACACACACACACACACACACACACACACACACACACACACACACACACACACACACACACACACACACACACACACACACACACACACACACACACACACACACACACACACACACACACACACACACACACACACACACACACACACACACACACACACACACACACACACACACACACACACAUACACAUACACACACACACACACACACACACACACACACACACACACACACACACACACACACACACACACACACACACACACACACACAGUGUUUUCCUGUUAUGCAUUGAUUGUAUUCAAGCAGUUGGUUCAAAGAGUGUAUACAAGCAGUUUCCUAGAGCAUUCUCAUGUGAGUGUGUGUGGUGUCACAUGAGGGAAGCAGGUGUGCUGUAGGCUGACAGCCGUUUUGGGUUACCUCAGAGCAACACACGCCCCACACCCCACCAUGGCAUCCAAUCCACAUCACCUCGUGAAAGAAUUUCUUGAGGCAAUUCAACACCACCCAACAGCGGAGCUGGUCACUGCUGUAAUGGAAGGAGACGAGGCAGGGGUGAGGUCAGCACUUGACAGGGGUGCCCGGCCCGAGGUCACCGUCCCCACUAUUGCUGGGGUGUCAUGGAGUCUGCUGACUGUGGCUGCCAGCGAGGGCCACGUGCACCCUGCUGUCUCUCUUAC